UAGGGAAUCUUCGGCAAUGGACGAAAGUCUGACCGAGCAACGCCGCGUGAGUGAAGAAGGUUUUCGGAUCGUAAAACUCUGUUGGUAGAGAAGAACGUUGGUGAGAGUGGAAAGCUCAUCAAGUGACGGUAACUACCCAGAAAGGGACGGCUAACUACGUGCCAGCAGCCGCGGUAAUACGUAGGUCCCGAGCGUUGUCCGGAUUUAUUGGGCGUAAAGCGAGCGCAGGUGGUUUAUUAAGUCUGGUGUAAAAGGCAGUGGCUCAACCAUUGUAUGCAUUGGAAACUGGUAGACUUGAGUGCAGGAGAGGAGAGUGGAAUUCCAUGUGUAGCGGUGAAAUGCGUAGAUAUAUGGAGGAACACCGGUGGCGAAAGCGGCUCUCUGGCCUGUAACUGACACUGAGGCUCGAAAGCGUGGGGAGCAAACAGGAUUAGAUACCCUGGUAGUCCACGCCG
rnacentral:rRNA from 1 species